AGCGAACGCUGGCGGCAUGCUUAACACAUGCAAGUCGCGCGGUCAGUAAUGGCAGCGGCGGACGGGUGAGUAACACGUAGGAAUCUAUCCCAGGGUGGGGGACAACAGCGGGAAACUGCUGCUAAUACCGCAUGAUACCUGAGGGUCAAAGGCGCAAGUCGCCUUGGGAGGAGCCUGCGUCUGAUUAGCUUGUUGGUGGGGUAAAGCCUACCAAGGCGACGAUCAGUAGCUGGUCUGAGAGGAUGAUCAGCCACAUUGGGACUGAGACACGGCCCAA
rnacentral:rRNA from 1 species